rnacentral:rRNA from 1 species
UACGAAGGGGGCUAGCGUUGUUCGGAAUUACUGGGCGUAAAGCGCGCGCAGGCGGUUCUUUAAGUCAGGGGUGAAAGCCCAGAGCUCAACUCUGGAAUUGCCUUUGAAACUAGAGAACUUGGGUACGGGAGAGGUGAGUGGAAUUCCAGGUGUAGCGGUGAAAUGCGUAGAUAUCUGGAGGAACACCGGUGGCGAAGGCGGCAUCCUGGACCGACAUUGACGCUGAGGCGCGAAAGCCAGGGGAGCAAACGGG